rnacentral:lncRNA from 1 species
CGGCCUCCCGAGAACGCCCUCGCCACGCAGCCGGCCGGACGUGUGGCCGGCGCUGCGCCUUCCCUCUCUGGCCCUCCCAGGCGGUGCCCGUUUUGACGUACUUGUGAUCCAGGCAGAAAAGAAGCCUUCACAAGCCCACGUAUUUUCCUCAGUGAGACAAAGAAAUAUUUGUGAUAUACUGAAACAGCUGAAGAAGUAUUCCGUUCAAAGUUCAGAGGGAGGAAACAGAGAAGCAGGAGACAAGAGAGGAGAGACAGCACAGUCAGGUCACUGCACUGCCCAGGAAACGGAAGCACAUCUGAGAAGAUGUCUCCAUCCCUCCACCUGAGGCUCGUGUUGCAGGUGCAGCCAUAGCUGUGGAUCUCCCAGCAAUCCCUUCUUCAACUGCAACCCGAGCUAUGAACAGAGAGAGGGAGAGUACUGUGCUUGGGGCUGCUCCUCUCCUUGGGAAGACUUGCAGCAAUGCCAGGUGAGGGGACAGGAGGUACUGAGGGUGUGGUGGCAGAGGGAAGCAUUGUGGACCCAGGAACAAUCCUGAAAUCUUUGAUCUGUGUUUGGCUCCACUAGUCACUAGACUCCUGACAAGCAGAUUUCAGGGUUCCGUAGGUUGAAACAUAGCAAUUCCACACUUGGGAGGGAACUGCUAUUUUAUUGCCCCAAUUAACUGGUUUAUUUGUUUAUAAAUUCUUCCCUUUUCUGUUUUAUGAUGCAGUUGUGGUGUGUUUAAUGGAACUGCAAGAUUAAGACUGGCAAGAUGACUGCAUGUUAUGUUUCCAAAGCUAAUAAAUGGUUUGAAUCCAGA